ACUUUUAACAACGGAUCUCUUGGCUCCAGCAUCGAUGAAGAACGCAGCGAAACGCGAUAUGUAAUGUGAAUUGCAGAAUUCAGUGAAUCAUCGAAUCUUUGAACGCACAUGGCGCCUUCCAGUAUCCUGGGAGGCAUGCCUGUCCGAGCGUCGUUUCAACCCUCGAGCCCCUGUGGCCCGGCGUUGGGGAUCUGCCACGGCAGGCCCCUAAAACCAGUGGCGGACCCGAAGGGCCCUCUCCUUUGCGCAGUAGCAUUU
rnacentral:rRNA from 1 species